rnacentral:rRNA from 1 species
GGGGAAUAUUGCACAAUGGCGGAAACUCUGAUGCAGCGACGCCGCGUGAACGAUGAAGGCCUUCGGGUCGUAAACCUCUGUCAGAAGGGAAGAAACCGCACCGUGCUAAUCAGCGGUGCAUUGACGGUACCUUACAAGGAAGCCACGGCUAACUCCGGGCCAGCAGCCGCGGUAAUACGGAGGGUGCAAGCGUUAAUCGGAAUUACUGGGCGUAAAGCGCACGUAGGCUGCUUUGUAAGUCAGGGGUGAAAUCCCACGGCUCAACCGUGGAACUGCCUUUGAUACUGCUUAGCUUGAAUCCUGGAGAGGGUGGCGGAAUUCCAGGUGUAGGAGUGAAAUCCGUAGAUAUCUGGAGGGACAUCAGUGGCGAAGGCGGCCACCUGGACCGGUAUUGACGCUGAGGUGCGAAAGCGUGGGGAGCAAACA